CCUACGGGAGGCAGCAGUAGGGUAAUUAGGCAAUGGGGGCAACCCUGACCGAGCAACGCCGCGUGAGUGAAGAAGGUUUUCGGAUCGUAAAGCUCUGUUGUAAGAGAAGAACGGGUGUGAGAGUGGAAAGUUCACACUGUGACGGUAGCUUACCAGAAAGGGACGGCUAACUACGUGCCAGCAGCCGCGGUAAUACGUAGGUCCCGAGCGUUGUCCGGAUUUAUUGGGCGUAAAGCGAGCGCAGGCGGUUUGAUAAGUCUGAAGUUAAAGGCUGUGGCUCAACCAUAGUUCGCUUUGGAAACUGUCAAACUUGAGUGCAGAAGGGGAGAGUGGAAUUCCAUGUGUAGCGGUGAAAUGCGUAGAUAUAUGGAGGAACACCGGUGGCGAAAGCGGCUCUCUGGUCUGUAACUGACGCUGAGGCUCGAAAGCGUGGGGAGCGAACAGGAUUAGAUACCCUGGUAGUCCACGCCGUAAACGAUGAGUGCUAGGUGUUGGAUCCUUUCCGGGAUUCAGUGCCGCAGCUAACGCAUUAAGCACUCCGCCUGGGGAGUACGACCGCAAGGUUGAAACUCAAAGGAAUUGACGGGGGCCCGCACAAGCGGUGGAGCAUGUGGUUUAAUUCGAAGCAACGCGAAGAACCUUACCAGGUCUUGACAUCCCGAUGCUAUUUCUAGAGAUAGAAAGUUACUUCGGUACAUCGGUGACAGGUGGUGCAUGGUUGUCGUCAGCUCGUGUCGUGAGAUGUUGGGUUAAGUCCCGCAACGAGCGCAACCCCUAUUGUUAGUUGCCAUCAUUCAGUUGGGCACUCUAGCGAGACUGCCGGUAAUAAACCGGAGGAAGGUGGGGAUGACGUCAAAUCAUCAUGCCCCUUAUGACCUGGGCUACACACGUGCUACAAUGGUUGGUACAACGAGUCGCAAGCCGGUGACGGCGAGCUAAUCUCUUAAAGCCAAUCUCAGUUCGGAUUGUAGGCUGCAACUCGCCUACAUGAAGUCGGAAUCGCUAGUAAUCGCGGAUCAGCACGCCGCGGUGAAUACGUUCCCGGGCCUUGUACACACCGCC
rnacentral:rRNA from 1 species